GCAGAAUUACAGGGGUAACCUUUUCACGCGAUUGGGUGGUGGGCGUAUGGGACGAGCUGCCGGAGGAGGAAGUCGAGGCAGGGACCAUUGCAGCGGUUAAGACACAUUUAGACACUGUACAUGGAUAGGACAGGUUUGGAGGGAUAAGGGCAGGUGGGACUGGUGUAGAUGUGGCAAGUUGG